rnacentral:rRNA from 1 species
GACGAACGCUGGCGGCGUGCUUAACACAUGCAAGUCGAACGGAAAGGCCCUGCUUUUGUGGGGUGCUCGAGUGGCGAACGGGUGAGUAACACGUGGGUAACCUGCCCUUGACUUUGGGGUAACUUCAGGAAACUGGGGCUAAUACCGGAUAGGAGCUCCUGCUGCAUGGUGGGGGUUGGAAAGUUUCGGCGGUUGGGGAUGGACUCGCGGCUUAUCAGCUUGUUGGUGGGGUAGUGGCUUACCAAGGCUUUGACGGGUAGCCGGCCUGAGAGGGUGACCAGCCACAAGGGGACUAAGAGACGGAGCAGACUGCUACGGGAGGCAGCAGUGGAGAAUAUUGCAGAACGGGCGGAAGUCUGAGGCAGCAACGCCGCGAGCGGGAUGACCGGCUUCGAGUUAUAAACCGCUGUGUCCGGUGACGAAGCGGGAGUGACGGUAAUGGAUAAAGAAGCACCGGCUAACUACGUG